rnacentral:misc_RNA from 1 species
CAGCUUUGGAAAUUUCUUCGGAUGCUGCAAAGGGAGAGUAACAGUCAUCUACUAAAUUUCUCUUGAUUAAGGAACAUUAACUAAUGGUAUAAACCAGAUAACCUAAAAUAGCAUUUGUAGUUGAUUAAGAUAUGCAACAUACACAAUAUGAAUCAAAUAUGUAAACAUACACCCUUCCCCUCAACUCCCCCAAAAAAAAUGCAAUGAGUAAAACGAAAGGAUGAGAAAGG